CGGGCUUUUGGCUGCGAGAAUCGAUACCGUAUUUAACGGAUUUUUAUGUUGAAAGCGAUUGUUAGUGGCUAUUAGAGUAGUGCAGAAUAAUUAUGGGUUCUGCAGUAUUCGUGGCAUAUAGGUUGGGCGGAAAAUAUUAAAACAAGAACAGUACACAGCGAGCACACAACUUGACGAACAUGGAUGGGAAAAGCAGCACCACAAGGAUAGAAUUUACUCUCAACUGAAGAACUGCAAAAGAUUUGUCGCUGUCGAGAAGAUUGGUAUCAUCAGCAAACAAUUUGGUAAAGAAGGAGGAACAACAAGUUAUGUCAUUUACAUAGACUAGAAAUAGAAGAGGACCCAAGCAACUACCUUGAGGAACUCCGUGAGUCACUGAUUUGAAAAGAGGGAUCACUCGGGCAAUUUUGAGACAUGCAGGGAAGAUUCCAAACAAAAGUGAACAAUUGAAGAAUUCAGCCAAACAUGGUGCAAUGAGAUCAGCAACUAAUUUAAGGAAACGUGCUGGAGCGUUCGGAAGUGUUCCCUUUCAAAAAGUGGGAUUCAAACAUCUUAUUUUUGUGGCGAAUAGAAGCAAGCAGCCCUUUGGUUAGCCAUGGUUUUGAUCGUAUCCUUUUUUGACGACGUGAGAGUGGUCGAAG